rfam:Marine metagenome 695760, whole genome shotgun sequence.
GAUUGUGUGAAGGAGGAAUUGAUUUAUUUCAGUGGAAACAAGGAAACACUUGAUGUAAAUCAAUUUUUAA